CGAGUUGGUUGGAUGAUCGCUAAUUUAAUUAGAGGAAAGUCCGGACUUCAUAGAGCAGGGCGCCAGGUAACACCUGGGAAGCGUGAGCUUACGGAUAGUGCAACAGAAAAUAUACCGCCAAUUCAUUUUGGUAAGGGUGAAAAGGUAAGGUAAGAGCUUACCGCUUAAAUGGUAACAUUUAGGGCAUUGCAAACCCCAGCCUGAAGCAAAACCAAAUAGAAAUCCAAUAAAGUUGCUCGCUUUGGAUUUGGGUAGGUUGCUAGAGUAUUAUGGCAACAUAAUAUCGAGAUAGAUGAUCGUCAAUUACAGAAUCCGGCUUAUAAACCAACUCAAAUU
rnacentral:RNase_P_RNA from 1 species